GCCCUGUGCGUCAACUCGGUAACCAAGGAAAUCCACGCUGCUUUCACCAAAAACACACUUUUCUUUUUUAAGUUUUAGACUAGCAUCAAGAAAACAUUGUAAAACAAGUUGUAGCUGUGCAGCCAAUGACUCUAUAGAAUCUGCUCCAAUAAGAACGUCAUCAAAAUAAGGCACUACACCUAGAAGUCCAGAUAAGAGGUCCUCCAUUAAAUUCUGGAAUAUGCCAGGAGCAAUGGAAACUCCAAACUGCAAACGUCUUGGAAAGCUC